AUUGAACGCUGGCGGCAGGCCUAACACAUGCAAGUCGAGCGGAUGAAGGGAGCUUGCUCCUGGAUUCAGCGGCGGACGGGUGAGUAAUGCCUAGGAAUCUGCCUGGUAGUGGGGGAUAACGUCCGGAAACGGGCGCUAAUACCGCACACGUCCUGAGGGAGAAAGUGGGGGAUCUUCGGACCUCACGCUAUCAGAUGAGCCUAGGCCGGAUUAGCUAGUUGGUGGGGUAAAGGCCUACCAAGGCGCCGAUCCGUAACUGGUCUGAGAGGAUGAUCAGCCACCUUGGAACGUGGACACGGUCCAGAGUCCUACGGGAGGCAGCAGUGGGGAAUAUUGGACAAUGGGCGGAAGCCUGAUCCAGCCAUGCCGCGUGUGUGAAGAAGGUCUUCGGAUUGUAAAGCACUUUAAGUUGGGAGGAAGGGCAGUAAGUUAAUACCUUGCUGUUUUGACGUUACCAACAGAAUAAGCACCGGCUAACUUCGUG
rnacentral:rRNA from 1 species